rnacentral:tRNA from 1 species
GCCACCUUAGCUCAGUUGGUAGAGCAACUGUCUUGUAAACAGUAGGUCAGGAGUUCGAGUCUCCUAGGUGGCUCCA